rnacentral:pre_miRNA from 1 species
UACUGAAUGAUGAUGAUGAUGAUGAUGAUGAUGAUGAUCAUCAUCAUCAUCAUCAUCAUCAUCAUCAUCAUCAUAAUCAUCAUCAUUAUCA